ACUUUUUUCCUGUUUAGAAUGUGGAUCGGGUACGGCUUUGACGCCGCAGAAAUCGCCGCAGUGAUGGUCAACCCUGGGUUUGUCUAUUCGAACACCACCUGGAUGUACGUGUUCUAUUUUUACCUGGCGUUUGUCGUCAUCAUCGGUUUCAUCCUGACGGUAUCGUUCAAGCUGAGCGAGGAGAUCUCCGACAACAAGCUGCACUCCUGUUUCGCGUUUUUCAAGUUGACCUCGGCAGUUACGGCGGGGGUCAUCUUCUUCCAGCUCUAUCUCCAAGACGACCGUGACCCGCUGACUAUUUUCAUUAUGGUGGUCACAGGCGCCGACAUGAGCCUCGAUUUCGUGGAGAUGGCGGCCGGAUGUGCAUCACUUGGAUUCAACAUGGUGUAUCCGCUGGAGGUGAAUAAAGAGCAAGCUUGAGGAAUCGGAACUCAAACAUCGUUUGCAGUGACUAAAAUAUGCACCAUUCCAUUUAGUGACCAAGUUUUGAGCAGUAUUAACUUGUAACCAAUUUUAUUUCACGUUGUGGAGAAUUUAUAUUUACUCUUGCCUGGUCUAUUUCCAAAAAUGUCUUGAACUUUCAUUUGACUUCUCAAUUUUUUUUCUAUUUCAUGCUUAUAAAUAAAACAUGCUAUUUGC
rnacentral:sRNA from 1 species